UUGUGAACAGAAAAUCCCAGUUUAGAUUUAAAACACCAUUGUCCAUCGGAUAUUGAAAGCAAAACCUAAAAUGGACCAGAUCGUGUCACCACCAUGAUUGCCCUGCGCCAAUUGCAUUGGCAAGGUGUGUUAUUAUCGCAUAAAAAUAUAAGACAAAUUGUAUAGUAACCUGUCUGACAGCAGAGUAAAAUCAUUACACCAAUAUCACAUGUUGAUAAAAUCCCAGCUUUCAGAUUCACACCAUUAUCAGUUGGAUAUUUAAAGCAAAAUUCCCUGCCUAAAAUGGACCUGAUUUAUCAUGUGACCACAACUGUGACCCAUAUAAAAUGCAAAUUAUUGUGUUGCUAUCACGUAAUAUUGGACAUUUACGUGACCAUCCAUACCAAUGAAUGGACAUGCUUAAUAUAACGAAGUUCUCAACAGCAGCAAAUUUCACAUUUCACGUCAAUCAAGCGUACCUGCCUAUCAGACAGAAGCCAUAGGGAAAUGGGCAAAUGGGAAGAAUUAGACACAUUUUUUAAAAUCUGUGAUCGCUUCUGUGAUCGCCCGGUCGAUCAUGAUCGACGUAUAGGGUACCCCUGGUGUAGAGUAAGAAAAAAAAAAGACAUUUUAGUUAAACAGUAUUUGUGUAAAGUGAGAGAAAAAAAAAACAUUUUUAAUGAAACAGUAUUUGUGUAGGGUGAGAAAAAAAAACAUUUUUAUUAAACAGUAUUUGUGUAGGGUGAGGAAAAACAUUUUUAGUUAAACAGUAUUUGUGUAGGGUGAGAAAAACUUUUUUCAGUCAAACAGUGUUUGUGUAGGGUGAGAAUUUUUUUUUUUCUUAAACAGUAUUUGUGUUGAGUGAGAGAAAAGCAUUUUUAGUUAAACAGUAUUUGUGUAGAUUGAGAAAAAAAAACAUUUAGUUAAAGAGUAUUUGUGUAGGGUGAGGGGAAAAAAAAACAUUUUUAGUUAAACAGUAUUUGUAUAGAGUGAGAAAUAACUUUUCUUUUACUGGAUUUUACAGCAGGACAGUGCUUCCACUGUGAUAUUUUUCCACCCAGUAUCUUGAACAAGAUCCUGUUCACAUUAUAACGACAUACUAACAUCUCUCAUUAAAAUGUGACAAAGGAUCCAGUUAUGAUGAUAAACUUUCAUAUCUCAUUAUAGUGAGAUACUUUUUUUUAUCUUGUAAUAACAAGAGAACAUUGCCUAUUGAAAGUGAUGCACAGAAUUUGUUCAGUAAAGGCCCUUAAAUCAGAGAAUCACUUUAAUAAUGACUCAGUGAGAUUCUACUAUCCUUGAGCACUUUAGAUUGAACUGUGAUAAGUAUGUGAACACUAGGAAGAAUUCUGAAAUGCAUGGGCCUGUACAGAAAUAAUCAGUCUGAUCCUUUUCAGGUGGCUUCUCAUUGGUCAGCUUGAGGGGCUUGGUUGGCUGCAUGGCAUUGGAGCGUUCGCGGAGUUUUCUGCUGUUCUCGCUAUAUCGAGAUGUGUUCUUGUUAUAAAAAAAUAUUCAAGUUUCUCGCUUUGAUGAGAAACAUUUUUUUCUUAUUAUAACGAGAUAUUCAGGUUUCUCAUUAUAUAAGUAGGAAAAAUUCUAAUUAUGAGACACUGAGCAGAAAAAUAGUUUCUCGGUGUGGCACUGCUAUUGUAAUUCAUUAAAAAAAAAAAAACGCAAUAGAAAAUGAUAACUAAAUGUAAAAAUGUAAAAUGUACAUUGGAACUAUAAAAUUCUAUGUACUCUGUAAUAAUGGUGAAAUCCCCCAUCUCCCUAUUUUCAGCAUAUUGCUUCUUUUUGUUUCAAAUAAAUGACAUUAUUAUACAAGCGUGACUUGCUAGAUAUUACUGUAAUAAAAAAACAAGAACAUUUUUCUGUGCAGAUGUUAUCCUCCUUAUGGUGUUAUAUGCUGCUAAAUGUCAGUGUGCAUCCUUGCUGAUGUGUUAUAAAUUAGUAUGUUUUUAUUUAAAAUAAAAAGUCUUCUAAAGUAGGCCUGCUACAGUGAUGAACAUUUUCAUAUUAAAUAUGACUAACCAAU